rnacentral:rRNA from 1 species
CCUUACACAUGCAAGUCGAACGGUAACAGGUCUUCGGAUGCUGACGAGUGGCGAACGGGUGAGUAAUACAUCGGAACGUGCCCGAGAGUGGGGGAUAACGAAGCGAAAGCUUUGCUAAUACCGCAUACGAUCUCAGGAUGAAAGCAGGGGACCGCAGGGCCUUGCGCUCACGGAGCGGCCGAUGGCAGAUUAGGUAGUUGGUGGGAUAAAAGCUUACCAAGCCGACGAUCUGUAGCUGGUCUGAGGGGACGACCAGCCACACUGGGACUGAGACACGGCCCAGACUCCUACGGGAGGCAGCAGUGGGGAAUUUUGGACAAUGGGCGCAAGCCUGAUCCAGCCAUGCCGCGUGCAGGAUGAAGGCCUUCGGGUUGUAAACUGCUUUUGUACGGUACGAAAAGACUCUGGUUAAUACCUGGGGUCCAUGACGGUACCGUAAGAAUAAGCACCGGCUAACUACGUGCCAGCAGCCGCGGUAAUACGUAGGGUGCGAGCGUUAAUCGGAAUUACUGGGCGUAAAGCGUGCGCAGGCGGUUAUGUAAGACAGAUGUGAAAUCCCCGGGCUCAACCUGGGAACUGCAUUUGUGACUGCGUAGCUAGAGUACGGCAGAGGGGGAUGGAAUUCCGCGUGUAGCAGUGAAAUGCGUAGAUAUGCGGAGGAACACCGAUGGCGAAGGGCAAUCCCCUGGGCCCUGUACUGACGCUCAUGCACG